AAUUCUAGCGAAGUAAGCUUUUUAUAUAUAUACAAACAAUAACAAACGAAACGAACAAUCGUUUCACUCUUUUCAUCUUCUUCCUUCAUUCUUCACCGUUCAUUUUUCAGCCGUGUAGAACUAUUUUUCCGGCAAGUUAUUUCUUCGGCAGCGUGUGCAGAUUUUCCGAUAGGUUGCUCUUUUCCUUUCUUUCAAAUUUCCAUUCCAGAUUUUUAUUGCUAAUUAAAUUGGAUUUUGAUGGCAUCCUCUGGUAAAUCAAAGAAGACAAGGAUCCCUUCUCAAAUGGAGUUUAGGAAGACUGUAAAAUGUAGUCGUGGAAGGAAAGGUUAUAACAAGCAGACUUGCAGACAUUCUCUACCCUACAAUACUCAAUAGUGCUGGUCAUUGUUGUUUUCACUCAAAUGUAGUUGUUGAUUUUUAAAAAUUCAUCUUUGUUAUUGAGUUAUAUUUUGGACUCUAAUGGAUAUUUGAAGCUUUUUCCCCCCUUAAAAACACUCCUAAUGUGUGCUAAAGGUAUGAAAUAUUCUUUCAUAUAUAUGUCAUGUACUAGGUAUUCUCUUGGAACUUUAUUUAUUAUGAACCAUUUCUGUCUUUUGUCUAGACGAAUUUCAUGAAAAAUAAACUCAACUUCACGUCA